UUUAACUGAAGAGUUUGAUCAUGGCUCAGAUUGAACGCUGGCGGCAGGCUUAACACAUGCAAGUCGAGCGGAGAGAAGUAGCUUGCUACUGAUCUUAGCGGCGGACGGGUGAGUAAUACUUAGGAAUCUGGCUAUUAGUGGGGGACAACAUUUCGAAAGGGAUGCUAAUACCGCAUACGUCCUACGGGAGAAAGCAGGGGAUCAGUAAUGACCUUGCGCUAAUAGAUGAGCCUAAGUCGGAUUAGCUAGUUGGUGGGGUAAAGGCCUACCAAGGCGACGAUCUGUAGCGGGUCUGAGAGGAUGAUC
rnacentral:rRNA from 1 species